rnacentral:sRNA from 1 species
AUUAUUACGUGCACCCGGCGAUGAAAGUCGUCGGGGAAGGGUUGAUGGGCAAGUUUGCCCAGGUGAAGCCGUGCAGAGGUUCGUCCCCAAAUGCAAAUUGGGGACGAACCUUUGCAUGGCUUUGUCAACUACUUUUUAGUA